UACGGGGGGAGCAAGCGUUGUUCGGAUUUAUUGGGCGUAAAGAGCUCGUAGGCGGUUUGUCGCGUCUGCCGUGAAAGUCCGGGGCUCAACUCCGGAUCUGCGGUGGGUACGGGCAGACUAGAGUGAUGUAGGGGAGACUGGAAUUCCUGGUGUAGCGGUGAAAUGCGCAGAUAUCAGGAGGAACACCGAUGGCGAAGGCAGGUCUCUGGGCAUUAACUGACGCUGAGGCACGAAGGUCAGGGGAGCAAACGGG
rnacentral:rRNA from 1 species